CGUUGACGCAAGUUCGAUGAAGUGCGAAGGUUUUUAUUUUAUUUUAUGUCUUUUCAUCCAUCACAAAGAUCAUU
rnacentral:tRNA from 1 species